CACCCAUGUCUUUUGCGCACUUGUUGUUUCCUGGGCGGGUUCGCCCGCCACCAGGACCAAACCAUAAACCUUUUUUUUUAAUGCAGUUGCAAUCAGCGUCAGUAAAAAACAAUGUAAUUAUUACAACUUUCAACAACGGAUCUCUUGGUUCUGGCAUCGAUGAAGAACGCAGCGAAAUGCGAUACGUAGUGUGAAUUGCAGAAUUCAGUGAAUCAUCGAAUCUUUGAACGCACAUUGCGCCCUUUGGUAUUCCAAAGGGCAUGCCUGUUCGAGCGUCAUUUGUACCUUCAAGCUUUGCUUGGUGUUGGGCGUUUUUUGUCUCCCUCUUGCUGGGAGACUCGCCUUAAAACGAUUGGCAGCCGGCCUACUGGUUUCGGAGCGCAGCACAUAUUUUGCACUCUGUGUCAGGAGAAAAGGACGGUAAUCCAUCAAGACUCUACAAAUUUUAACUUUUGACCUCGGAUCAGGUAGGGAUACCCGCUGAACUUAAGCAUAUCAAAAGCCCGGAGGAAA
rnacentral:rRNA from 1 species